rnacentral:tRNA from 1 species
GGUGGUUCGGUAGUAGAAUGCCCGCCUACCACGCGGGCGGCCCGGGUUCGAUUCCCGGCC